rnacentral:rRNA from 1 species
UACGGGGGGGGCAAGCGUUGUUCGGAAUUACUGGGCGUAAAGGGCUCGUAGGCGGUUUGUCGCGUCGGGAGUGAAAACCAGGUGCUUAACACCUGGCUUGCUUUCGAUACGGGCAGACUAGAGGUAUGCAGGGGAGAACGGAAUUCCUGGUGUAGCGGUGAAAUGCGCAGAUAUCAGGAGGAACACGGUGGCGAAGGCGGUUCUCUGGGCAUGACCUGACGCUGAGGAGCGAAAGUGUGGGGAGCGAACAGG